rnacentral:rRNA from 1 species
AGCAGUAGCCGCGGUAAUACAGAGGGUGCAAGCGUUAAUCGGAAUUACUGGGCGUAAAGCGCGCGUAGGUGGUUUGUUAAGUUGGAUGUGAAAUCCCCGGGCUCAACCUGGGAACUGCAUCCAAAACUGGCAAGCUAGAGUAUGGUAGAGGGUGGUGGAAUUUCCUGUGUAGCGGUGAAAUGCGUAGAUAUAGGAAGGAACACCAGUGGCGAAGGCGACCACCUGGACUGAUACUGACACUGAGGUGCGAAAGCGUGGGGAGCAAACAGGAUUAGAUACCCCCGUAGUCCCUGUCUCUUAUAC